rnacentral:rRNA from 1 species
GACGAACGCUGGCGGCGUGCUUAACACAUGCAAGUCGAACGGAAAGGCCCUGCUUUUGUGGGGUGCUCGAGUGGCGAACGGGUGAGUAACACGUGAGUAACCUGCCCUUGACUUUGGGAUAACUUCAGGAAACUGGGGCUAAUACCGGAUAGGAGCUCCUGCUGCAUGGUGGGGGUUGGAAAGUUUCGGCGGUUGGGGAUGGACUCGCGGCUUAUCAGCUUGUUGGUGGGGUAGUGACUUACCAAGGCUUUGACGGGUAACCGGCCUGAGAGGGUGACCGGCCACAUUGGGACUGAGAUACGGCCCAGACUCCUACGGGAGGCAGCAGUGGGGAAUAUUGCACAAUGGGCGGAAGCCUGAUGCAGCAACGCCGCGUGCGGGAUGACGGCCUUCGGGUUGUAACCCGCUUUCGCCUGUGACGAAGCGUGAGUGACGGUAAUGGGUAAAGAAGCACCGGCUAACUACGUG